rnacentral:rRNA from 1 species
GAUGAACGCUGGCGGCGUGCCUAAUACAUGCAAGUCGAGCGAACGGACGAGAAGCUUGCUUCUCUGAUGUUAGCGGCGGACGGGUGGGUAACACGUGGAUAACCUACCUAUAAGACUGGGAUAACUUCGGGAAACCGGAGCUAAUACCGGAUGAUAUUUUGAACCGCAUGGUUCAAAAGUGAAAGACGGUCUUGCUGUCACUUAUAGAUGGAUCCGCGCUGCAUUAGCUAGUUGGUAAGGUAACGGCUUACCAAGGCAACGAUGCAUAGCCGACCUGAGAGGGUGAUCGGCCACACUGGAACUGAGACACGGUCCAGACUCCUACGGGAGGCAGCAGUAGGGAAUCUUCCGCAAAGGGCGAAAGCCUGACGGAGCAACGCCGCGUGAGUGAUGAAGGUCUUCGGAUCGUAAAACUCUGUUAUUAGGGAAGAACAUAUGUGUAAGUAACUGUGCACAUCUUGACGGUACCUAAUCAGAAAGCCACGGCUAACUACGUG